CCGAGGCAGCCACGCACUCAGGGUCUGUCACUGCAUUAUUCUUUUGUUCCUGGCCUCACUAUAGAAACCACAAUCUGUACGUGUUUCUAUAAAGAACCUGCAACUUCCUGGCUGUCCUGUCCCGACAUCUACCUCACCUACCAUGGCGCACUGUGACACGAGGAGCAGCUCUCUCAGCGACGGGGAAAAGUGGACGGCGGAUGAAUACUUCGGUUCCCACGCCUUCUUCCGCAUCAUGUCCGACCCGCCGAUCAUGGUGGUGGCCGGCGUUCGUCAGAGGAGUUGAAAAUGCAUGGGACACGCUGCUGUGUUCUGCGUGUAGCUGAGGUGAGGGAAGACGCAGUAUGUUGAGGGAAGGCAGCUGCAAGACUGAACUGCUGCACCAGUGACAGCAGCAGCAGAGCCCCACCACUGAUGCUGCUCCUUUCCUUCUCCCAGCACAACAGCACACAGGACACAUUUC